UACGGAGGGGGCUAGCGUUGUUCGGAAUUACUGGGCGUAAAGCGCGCGUAGGCGGCUUUGUAAGUCAGAGGUGAAAGCCUGGAGCUCAACUCCAGAACUGCCUUUGAAACUACAUCGCUAGAAUCAUGGAGAGGUUAGUGGAAUUCCGAGUGUAGAGGUGAAAUUCGUAGAUAUUCGGAAGAACACCAGUGGCGAAGGCGACUCACUGGACACAUAUUGACGCUGAGGUGCGAAAGCGUGGGGAGCAAACAGG
rnacentral:rRNA from 1 species